AACGCACAUUGCGCCCCUUGGUAUUCCGGGGGGCAUGCCUGUUCGAGCGUCAUUAUGACUAAUCCAGCCUAGCUGGGAGUUGGGCCUCGCUGUACGGCGGGCCUUAAAAUCAGUGGCGGUGCUCUUAGGCUCUACGCGUAGUAAAUUUCUCGCUAUAGAGUCCUCAGAGGUGCUUGCCAGCAACCCCUUAUUUCUUUGGUUGACCUCGGAUCAGGUAGGGAUACCCGCUGAACUUAA
rnacentral:misc_RNA from 1 species